UACGUAGGGGGCAAGCGUUGUCCGGAUUUAUUGGGCGUAAAGAGCGUGUAGGCGGCCAGGUAGGUCUGCUGUGAAAACUCGAGGCUUAACCUCGAGCUGUCGGCGGAAACCAUCUGGCUAGAGUCCGGAAGAGGAGAAUGGAAUUCCCGGUGUAGCGGUGAAAUGCGCAGAUAUCGGGAAGAACACCCGUGGCGAAGGCGGCGACCUGGCCAAUCACUGACACUGAAACGCGAAAGCGUGGGGAGCAAACAGG
rnacentral:rRNA from 1 species